rnacentral:lncRNA from 1 species
AUGCACACUAGUCAGAAUAUCUUGUAUUUAUAUUUGAUGUAUUGAUAUAAGAGAAAAAAGGGCCUGAAGUUGACCUCAGGGAAUAAUUUAAGGUCAUCGACUAAUUUAGUAGAAAAUUUAAAUGGCGAUUUUGUAAUAUAAAUACUCACCCCCUGUAAUCAUCAAAUUAAUCCUGGUAACUAUCUUUGCUAGAUUCAAAUAUUAGUUUCAGUGUCAGAUUAUAAUAUUAGUUUAAUUUAAUAUACCUAUUUUGUAUUGGUUUAGGUUGUUUGAAAUUAAUACAAAGUAUUUAUGAGCCUUACUACUAUAGAUGAUUUUAGUAGGGUCUUUGAAUCCUAUUAAAAUAUGGAUGUUUAUUAGAAAGAAAUUACUGAAUUAUCUGGUUUAAAAUUUAUCUGUCUUCUAUUUCUAUGGAAAGCGAUCCAUUAUAUUUUCUCUUAGCCACGGGGAAAUGCCAAGGAUAGUGGUUCUUCAGUAGUUGGAAUGUUGACUCACCCUACUUUUAUCUUUCUGUUGCUUUAAUUGUAAGAUUUCCUUCUUAUUUUUUGUCCAUUUUUGAAUUGGUAAUAGAGCUAAAUUGCUUGGAAAUUUGAACGGUUUGUAUUUUUCACGAUGAGUUUGGGUUCCUUGUAGUUCAAUGCAUGAUUAGAUCUUUUGCUGGCAUACUUUUAAUUUGUUAAUCUGACUCUUCUGUUUAGGUAGGCGUGUUUAGGUAGGCGUACCUCUGUAUGACACCUGGACACUCGGACACGACACUUAUCCAGUGUCGGAUCCUUUGACUGAGUUGUGGACACUUUGACCAGCUAAAAGACCACAUAGAUAUUAUAUAUACAUUGCAAACAAAAAAAAAAGAGCGUAGGAAAGAAGUAAAAAUAAAAGACAAGUAGAUCCCUAUUUUGCAAAAUUAUUUACAAAAUUGUGUUUAAUCUGAAUUUGAUUGUUACUUUUUGUUGAAGGCAUCUACUUACCAAGUUUGUUUAUUAAUGUUUUAUGUCGUGUCCCUGUACCCGUGUCCAAUGUAAGGACAAUGUCCUUGUGUCCCCAAUUCUCAGAUUUUUGGAGUCCGACACUCAGAUUUGUCGUGUCUGACACUUCGUACCCGAGUCAGAGUAACAUAUUUUGAUGUAGUGACGUGUUCUCACCUGUUGGUUUGUCCCAUUUUGAUGAGAGGUUUUCCAUGUAAAUUAUGUCUUGCAUGCUGGUUGUGAAAACAUAGGGGAUAUAGAAACUUCAAAGUUUUUUGUGUAAAGUGUACAUGCUUCAACAAGUUAUGUCGUAAUAUCUGACAUUGAGAAGUAGCGGGUGGAAAACUUAUUUAGUUAGAUUACGAUAUUUGUUUAGUUUUAUGUUUACAACUCAAAAGAUUAGAGAUGCGGAUGCAGGCUAUAUCGUAUGUAUUUGGGGACAACUGACUAAAAUGGGGAUGUUUCGAGUACUAAAAUGGCCAAAAUACCAGUUCCCAAUUUAAUAAAAAGUGAGAAACCCUAAAUCUAAUUGCGGAACUCUCACUUGAUGAGUCUGAAAUGGAGAAUGAGUUGCUAUCUUAUGAUUUUAACAUUUGAGAAUGAUAUUGUCUUUUAUAUUUUAUGUUUAAUAGUUAAUAUUUUGAAUGUUGAAUAUUACCUCUAUCUUAUAUGUAUGAAAAAAUUAUAUUAAUAUAUUAAAUGCCGUACAACGCCCUAUAAUUUUAAAAUUGCAGUUUCAUGAUCCCGUCCCCGUCCCCUUGCCUGUAUAUGUUCCCUUACCCGUCUUCAUGCAACAUAGUAUAUAUAUUGGCUGGGCCUGGUCUGUUACAAUAUCUAAUCUACUACUGUUUUAAGGAAGCUGAGGGAUUUUUGACUUUUUUGAAUACUUAUAAUUAUAUUAUAUGAGUUAAUGUUGCGGAGAAGCUAUUGAUAAGAAAUGUAGUGGCCAUAUCUUUCUGAUUUUGCGGUUCUUGCACAUCUAUAGUUUAUCUUUUCUGCUCGGAACUAUUUUAUUUACACACUAAUGAAGAAUGUGCAUGCUUGUCUCGGGCUCUCGUUUGGUGAUCUUAAAAUCUAUUCUGUCUUUUUUAUGGUGGCCUUUGCUCUUGUUUGUGGUGUUCAUUUCAGAGCGUUUAUGGAGCAACCCAGAGUCCACAUCAGUGGGAAAUUCUACAUCGACUGUGUUGUCCAGGGAUCAAUACUUCAGGUGCCUCUUAACUAGACGAGGUGUUCAAGCUGCUCCAGCAACAAAUUUCUAUGCCCGGCGUGCUCCAACUGGUCCAGGAUCAUGCUACGAGCAAUAGAUCGUUAUUAGCUGUGCUAUAUAAGUAUGUUUGUAGCUGUCUCAAUUUGCAUUGUACAUAAUGUUUAAGUUAAUAUUUGAGGUCCCGGCUCGUGGUUGGUGUAUCACUUGAAAGGGAUUGCUGCUCUCUGUUGUUAAAUAGUGGAAAUUAAAUCUGAAUUGUCCUUCCGUCAUUGGUGUCAUAUUGUUGUAAGGUGAAGACCAUUUGUUCAUUACAUCUGCAAAUUUACGUGUUUUCUGAUCAUCAUAUUCCUUUCCUCUUUUUUUAUUUUGUCACAAAAUGCUUUCUCGUAUAACGAAUUGUAUCACAAUACAAAAGUCAUGGCCAGGAGUUCGUUUCGUUCAAGAAAUUUUACCAUCUAACCCUCAUAUAUGCAGAGAUGACUAGAGACACUUAGACAAUAAAGUUUUAAUGUUCGAUAAUAAAACACCCAUAUGAAUUCCCGCUAUCAUUUUUCCUUCCAAAAUAACCUGAAAAAUACAAUACUAACAAAGAGUAUUAUACAGACAAUAAAAUGAUAAAACUAUCUAAAAACGAUAGAGGAAAAAAAUCAACAGACUCGUAAUAAAAAAAAAUAUUAAUAUAAUUUACGGAAAAGGGAAAGUAAAAUUAAAAAUUAAUGUAAAAAAUUAUUUAAGAAUCUACACCACAGAGAUAAUGAAAUCUCUUUGGUUAGAUACCUAAUAAAACAAUAAGUAAUAAAAUAUAAAUCUCACCAAAAAAUAACUUAUUUGUAAGAGCAUCUCCAAUGGCGUUGGCUAUAAUCGUUGGCUAAAUUGGAUCUGUAAGAUAUUAUGUAAAAUUUGCCGAACCUGUAAGACAUUGUGCUUCAAUGGUAUUGGCUAUAUUGGUUGGCUAUAAUAUAAAUAUAGUAUGUUAUUAAUAUUUAGAUUGUUAUAAAUAGAAUAUAUCAGUUUAAUAUGGUAAUAAAUAAUAUGUAAUCAGUGGGAAGGAGGAAAAUAAAUUGUGGGAGAUGACGUGGAAUUCGCUACAGAUCUGUACCGGAUCGACAAAUAUAGCCAUCCACAGGGGGAUGACUAUAAUUAUAUACAAGGGGUUGCUGUGGUUGGAGUUCUAUUUUUUGUGAACAUUGACUAUAAAAUUUAAUUUUUGGAAGUCACAUGGACUUUUAGCUAAGGGUUUGUGAGGGUUGGAGAUGCUCUAAUAUCAAUAAAUGUUUAAAGUAUAAAUAAAAUAUAAUUGAAACCGAAAACAAAUCUAAGACGGUGGUGUCAAUUUCAGGUACUCAGGGCGGGUUUGUGUCCAGUUUUUGGGUCCAACUUGAACCACAAAUAGUUGGAAACCCGGCAUGUUAUGAUCAACUCUAAAAUGACUCAUUUCUGACAUAUAUUUUUUUUAAAAUUUUAUUAUUUUGAUCAUACAAGUCUAUAUUAUACGAUUAAAGUUGAAAUUUUAGUGGGUAUGAUCGAUAUUUGAGCCGGCUUUUAUAAAGGGUUAAAUGGAUUUUUGGUCAUUCAACUGAUCAGAAACUUGCAAUUUGGUCAUUCAACUCAAAAAACUUUCAGUCACAUCAUUAUAUCUCUUAAAAAUUUUCAUUCAGGUCACUGGCCGUUACACUCCGUGAAAAAUUUGACGGAAAGCUGACUAAACAUCAUGACUUGGCUUAAAUAAAUCCAUCGUGGCAUGCAUAGUCAGCUGAAGCGACAUUUUGGUCACUCGAUAUAUAGACUAAAAAUUUGCAAUCGUGUCAUCAUACUCAAAAACCUUUCAUUUAGGCCAUUAAUCAUAAUAUCUGUUAAAAAUUGAAAAAAGAAAGAAUUAAAAGCUAUCAUGCAGCACCAUUUUUUUUCUCUCUUAAAAUUUUUGAAACUUAUUAACAAAUGAAACAAAUACACACACAUAAAAUCAAUAGUUUCACCCACAAAAACUUAAUCUUCGUUUAUCUCUUAUCAUUUUAUAUAUCUUAAGGCCAUUUUGAAAAAACUCAUUAAAUUUUUGAUGGACUUUUCCCAAAUGACCAAAAGAUAUAUAAAGUGAUAUAAUAGUUAAAUGGGUCCUAUUCCCUGGUAACCGAUUGUCAGGAAACAUUUAUCUAACAUACUGUUUCCCAGCCGUUGGAUCGACGAUCCAACGGCUGGGAUAAAAGAAAUUUUUUUUAGCUAUCCGCGUUUUUUUUCCCCGGAUACUAUGCAUUCCGCGAGAUUGUAACGCGGACACUCCGCGCUAUCCGCGUAUAUUAACAGCAGAUAACACAGAACUCACCGACUAAAAGGAUAGCAAGAGUGUUGCCGUGUGCGUGGAAUGUAACUGAAAAAAGAAGAGUUUAUUGUGUCUCAGCGUAACAAUCCACGUUGCUUAAGCACCCAAGUGACACGUGACUAAGGAGUGCAUGUCAAUUUUUAUUUCGGAGGACAUUUAUAUAUACGAAAUUCUGAAUGAGUGAUGAUUUUUCAUGGAAUUGGAAUAUGGUACAACUCAUUGUUAUGCAUGAGGACAAAGUUCGAUUUUUUGUCUGGGUUUAUAAAAUGGUGAUUAAUUAGACCGAUGAUCAGGAUAAUUAAAUGAAUUUAAAAGUAUACUGACAUCGAUGAGGAUAAUUAAAUAAAAUUUAAAAAAUAUUAGAAAUAAAAGAGGUUGUCGGUCAGCAAUUAAGUCAUUUUAAAAAAUAAAAGUUUUGUCUAGAAAAUUACGUAUUUAGAUAUUUUCUAAAAGCGAUGACUUAUUGGAUGUAAGAUAUUAAUUAUUCAAUAAAAGUAAAUAAAAAUAUUUAUAUUUUCUUUUGUAUAAGUAAUUAUCUAUAAUAAAUAAGAUAAAUCAAAUAUCUAUUAUGAUGAUCUUUAGUUAAAAUCAAAUAUAAAUUUACGCGCCUCACUGUAUAUGUGAUUACGUUUGCAUUUGCAUGAUACAAGUUUUGUAACAUGUAGGAUGAGCCUCAAAGUUCUUUUAGUCGGCGAGUUCUGUGUUAUCCGCACGCGGAUAGCGCGGAGUGUCCGCGUUACAAUUUCGCGGAAUGCACAGUAUCCGCGGAAAAUAAAGCGCGGAUAGCUAAAACAAAUUUCUUUUGUCCCAGCCGUUGGAUUUAACGGAUAAUAUGAUAAAUCUUAGAUGAAAGUUUUUUAAGUUUGAUGACUCGAUUGCAAGUUUGUAGUCAGUUGAAUGACCAAAAUGUCACUUCAACUGACUAUACAUGUCACGGUGGAUUUAUUUAAGCCAAGUCACGAGGCUUAGUCAACUUUCCGUCAAAUUUUUAACGGAGUGUAACAGCCAGUGACUUGAAUGAAAAUGUUUAAGAGUAUAAUGAUGUGACUGAAAACUUUUUGAGUUGGAUGACCCAAUUGCAAGUUUCCGGUCAAUUGAGUGACCAAAAUCCCAUUUAAUCCCCUUUUAUAUAAAUCAUUUCGGGUCAAUAUUUACUUAGUUUUUUCAUGAUUUUAACUAAUAAAAAUUACUCAUAUAACAUGUUAAAUGAAAUUACUUAUUUAACAUACCUAAUAAAUAUAUAUUAAUCCAAGCAUCUUUAUUAAUUAUAAUAAUAUAUUCUAAACUAAAUUUGUAUUCAAAUUAAAUUAAAUAUUAAAAUAUAUAUGAUAAAAGAUAAAUAUUAUUAGUCAAAUGUGUAUCACAUGAAUUAUAAGCAGCUUAUAUUUAUCUAUAAUAUAUUAAAAACAUAUAAUAAAAUUAAUUAGGUGAUAUGAGAACAAGAUUAUUUGGAUAAUAUAUAACUGUAUAUAAAUCUAUUAGAUUGUGUAAUAAAAUUUUUAUAUGUUAUAUAUUAUACUAUAUAUAUAAAAUUUUGGACAACGUUGGUAUCCGCUCAAAAUGAACAUGAUCUUUUUAUUUAUUCAAUAAAAAGUUAUCCAACACGAAUCUAAGCUGAAAAAUCUCAUUCUUAAUUUUGAUUCGAUUUCUGUAGCAUUGGAUUUUGACACUCACAUAAUUUAUAUCCAUUACUACUAUAUUAUAGUUUAACCAUUUUAAUGCAUUCAAUUGUAUGUGUUGAUAUCAUUUUCUUACGUGUAUAUAUUAGUGUAUAAUAUAAUCUAUCACAUAAUAUAAUCUAUCACACGCAGGGACGGAUUUAGCAAGAGGCACAUGCGCACAGGUGUCCCCCUAAAGCAAAACUUUUUGACAGAUUUUCACCAUUCUAAAUUUUACAAAAAUAGAAGUGUCUAUUUUUCGAAAAUGUGUUUGAUACCCUCUUAAGAAAAUAAUCCUAGACAUGCCCCUCGUAUCACAUGUGGGUAUAUAAAUAUUAACAUUUUUUAUAUAUAUUUAAAUAGUAAUUUAUUUUAAUAUAUUAUUAACAGGAUUCGACCUUUAAACUUUAGCAAUAUCUCUAUGAUGGCUUUAUCUCAAUUUGUUGUAUACCUUGUUGGAUUGUAGUCAUAUUUACAAGCUUUUCAUUUUGAUAAAUGUCAUGUUGGAUUUUAGCUAGAGUUGCGUCCGUUGGAUUUUAACCGGAGAUGCCUCGAUAACGCUAUUAUUUAUUAUAUUUGAGUUUACUAUAUCUUUAAUUAUAUAAAAUUUUGCUAAAAUCAUCUUUCAAUUAAUCGCCCAAUAACCAUGAUAACUAUUUACAUGCUUCAUUAUUAUUUCAAAUUUCUAACCGUUAUAUUCUAAAUAUUAUAUCAUAACAAUUUUUUUUGAAACAACUCCAUUUCAUUGUAUUAUAUGCAGUUUAGAAUUAAAUUAUGAUAUUUUUAAUUAUAUAUAUAUAUAUAUAUAUAUAUAUAUAUAUAUAUAUGAAAUUGUUCAAAUACAAAACACUAAAAUACAAAUCAAGAUAUACCACCCAUAAACGAAAUCACCUUCCUCUAUAUGUCAUCGCCCACUCCCUAUAUACACCUAUCUAAGGCCCACCUCGCCCUCUGAGGCGCACUAGAGCCUUGCCAAGACUCCAGACAAGUCUUGGAUAGGCUGCAAAAAGCUUUAAGAGCAAAACUUUUGUUUCACUAACCCCCAACCAGGACCCAUAUAUAUAGAGCAUCUCUAGAUGUAUCCCCGGUUCCAAAACUUGUCUCAUUCUACUUAAUUGUACUAUUAUUUUUAAUGAUUUGUAUUGGAGAAGGAUCAUGUACAUAUGUGUGUUUCGAAAACUAUAUUAUUAUUGUUCGAUUUUUAAACUUUAAAAUUCAAAUUUCUAACAAAUAUAUUACGGUUACUCUAUUAUAACGGCUCCAAUUGCUCUAUUUGAAUUUGUUGUAUCCUAUGUUGGAUUUUAGUCAUAUUUACACGUAUUUGGCUUUUCAUAUUAAAUAUCGUGUCAGUUUUUAGUUAGAGUUAUCAUGGUUGGAUGGUUGGAUUUUGCUGGAGUUGUCUCGACUUUAGCACUCUUAAUUAUUAUAAUCGAGGAGAUUAUUUAAUAUAUUGUCUUAUAAAUUUAUUUUUCAUUAAAUUGCUCUAACAACCAUGAUAACUAAUCACCUACUUUAUUAUUAUUUUCAAAUUUCAUAUCUCUAACAUUUAUUAACUAGAUAGUACAUUGUAGUAGUUUUAACUACUUUAUUAAAUUUUAACUAAAAUCUACGCUUAUUCAUAUAUUAGAAAAUUAUAAAUGUAUUAUAAUUUUAAAGUCAUACUAGCGGCUGCGGGUUCCUGCGUUAAAUUUUUUUUUUUUAAAAAAAAUUUACACGAACUUAAAUUAUACAAAAUUUCCGUGAAACCAAUCCAACAAAUAUUUAUCCAUUUUCAUUUCAAAUUUCAAAAUAAAUUAUAUAAAAAAUAUGCACAACAGCAUCGAAAUACAAUAUCUUAGUGAUUUAAUUUAACCAACCAAUUUUAGCAAACGGUUAGAAAGGAUCAAAUACAAUAUAAAAUUUAAUAUAUAGUUCCAAAUCUCAACUAACAACUUACUUCACCUAAAUUCUAAUGAAAUUUAAAAUAUUGAUGAUUACUCCUUGGAUUUUCUAAUCUAUAGAGACACAUCCAUACAAUAUAAUUAAAUGCACCUGCCUAUAAAAUCUUGCAUAUAGCUUGGGCAAAACAUAACCACAAUACCAUUUCAAAGGUGACAGCAAUGGAGUGCUUACCAACUGAAAUCAACACCAAAAUUCUUAUAGGCUUGCCGGUCAAAACACUAGGGCAACUGAAAUGUGUAUCAAAAUCUUUCAACAUGCUUCUCAAAUCUCACCAUUUCAUUAAACGCCACAGCGAGCAAAUCUUGGAUCAGAAUAGUCUGAAAUUAGUACUUGUAGCUGCCAGUUCGAGUGUGCACACUCUGACCAUCACGGAUCAGAACCUUGUAUCUCGUCUGGCUCCUGUUCCAUUGCCCCCGAAUGAUGUCAACAAGUUCCUCCAUCCCACCAGUCUGGUUGGCACGUGCAUGGGGUUAGCAUGCCUCCGCUGCCCCCCAAACACAUACUCUCUUCUGAACCCGACUACUAAAGAGUGUCGGGUUUUGCCUAAUCCUGGUAGAUUCUGGACUACGAGCUGGCCUCCGAGUAAGGUGUCAGGGUUCGGUUACAUUCCAUCACUGGAUGAUUUCAGGGUGGUUUGUGUUGCCCUUUAUAAAGAUCGGCCUUAUGUACCAGUGAUCAAGGUUUUUUCUGGUAAGUCUGACUCAUGGAAGACGAAGCCGAUCACGGUUAGGGAACCUCUUUUUGGUUUUUUUUCUGAUUAUGCAGUUUAUUUCAAUGGUUCUGCUUACUGGCUAGGCUGGUCUGCAGACAAUAUUGAUGCAAAGUAUCAACGAGUUUGCCUUACAGCUUUUGAUUUUGUGAAAGAGGAAUUUAGUACAAUUUCCUUACAUGAUGAGAAUAUACAUGCGGACAAAAUUAAGGCUUUUGUGUUGUUGGAAGGGUGCCUUACUGUUGUGGUUGACGAAGAUGAUUUCUCUGUGGGAAUGUGGAUGAUGAAGGAGGUUGGUGUUCAAGAGUCUUGGACCAAGACUUUUUCUUUCAGAAGAUAUUUUCUUAAACCCUAUGCAUCGGUUUUCCCAAUUUGCCAGGCAGGAGAUGCCGUUUUGUUUAAUGUAAAUCUUGAGCUUCGAUGGUAUGAUCCGGUGAAGGAUAUAUCCUCCAAUAUUGGUGAUUUACGAAGGAUUAGGAGUAGGGAAGGUCGAAUCCACAUUGCAAAGUAUGAGGAGAGUCUGAUUUCGCCUCAUGACAUUCAGCAGGGCAGAAUUGCAAGCAUAAUAGCGGACGAGGUAAUUUACUCAUACAAUUACAUCGGUUAUUGGUGAUGUGAUGAGAAGUAUUUAAUAAGAAUAAUAAUGAUCUCUUCUGAUUAUUUGUGAUAAUAAAAGUUUGUAAUUAAAUCCUCUUUCUGUUUUUGCAGGAGAUUACUGGUCUGAAAAUAGAGCUUAAUAAGAUGAUCCUGAAGCUUCAGGAGGCUGAAGCUCGCGAGAAGGACCUUUUGGAGAAGCUUCGAAUUGCUGAGGAGGCUCAUGCUGAGGAGAAUAUAGUUAUGAAGAAGCGGAUAAAGGAGGUGGAGAAUGAGCUCAGUAGGCUGCGUCUUGGAAAAGAAGAGGCCAGGGGGUCUAGGGACAAAGACGCUGCUGCAAAGGAAGUUGCUGAAGCGAGGGAUGCCUCGCGGAUUAUGUAAUUGAAUAGUUUAGUCUUGCUAUUUCUGUGUCUUUGAACUUUGUUUGCCAUCUGGUUUGGCUAUCUAUUGUUUUGCUGGGAGACUUUUGGAUAUUGAUGGAGUUGCUUUGUUGAAUUUGGCUUGAUGACAUGGGAUCUCUGAUGAAUUGUUGUCACUCCUGUCAUACCUUUUGUAGAAAUGAUUGCAGGAAUCUGAAUUUGACAUGUUUGCAUAGACAUCUAAAAUUACAGGCUUUGAAUGUUUAGAUCUCAAGUGGUGGCCGGAAUUUUUUGCUUAUUAAUUAUGUUGUAACAAGCUCUCAAGACAUUGGCAUUGGACUUAAAGUUAAUUAUGUCAUGAAGACUGUAGGAGUGAGCCUCUGGUUUGAUUAAGAUCAGCAAGCAAUCACUAGAACAAGUGAUGAUUGCUGCAACCUUCAGGCAUGAAACGACUGGAACAGCUUUAUCAAAUUGUAUACAAUUUGUGUUGUAUCUUGUAUGGCUCAGUAGUAAGCAAUUACUAACUUCUAUCAGUCUCUCUAUUCAUGCAUUGCUUAUUUGCUUAAAAGAGUGCAACACUAAUAGUUAUGAAGUACAUUAUCCCGACUCUUUAUUUUGCUUCAAGUACCCGUGUCCGACACUCGACACUUGUAAAUGGGUAUGGAAAUUCCGACACUUAUUAUAGGCCAAAAAUAUGUAAAAUUUUCAAAAUAUUGCGAAAUCCGUCAGUCGGACACGUAGUCCACUUUGGACACUUUCAACCGAGUCCGGAUAACCUAGCUUAUAAACCUAAAUGUCCAUAGUCCAUGUAUAACAGGGUCGUAAGCUAUGAUAUUAAUUGCUUGCUUGGGGGAAAGUAAAUUAAGAGUUAAUUUCAGGGUGUGAUUAAGUUUUACUCUAAUUUUCAAAAAUGUGACUGGAUUUCUAAAUUAACAGAUUGGUGGCUGGAUUUCGUCUCCGCCUUUCAAAAAUUUGUUAAGGACGUUAUGUUUGCACCGUUAAUUUAAUUAGAAAACAUAAACUGAAAGCGUAUUUAGGUAAAAGAAGUUACUGUUUAAUGAAGAUAUAUGAAAAAGGCAUGGUAAAAUCAGCGAAAAAUAAGAAGAUUCUGGAGAUCCUGGCAUAAUCUCCGGCCCCUCCAAAUUUUCCUCCUAUGAAAGAAGUGAAAGAAGUGCAGCCAGCUGAAGUAAAUCAGACCGAUCUUUUUUUCUUCGUCGAAGAAAAAGAACACUCCACCGCUGAUUUGCAAGGCCAUGGGCUUUGUAGCAGCCUUUACAAGGUGAAGCUCAAUAACAACAAUACCGUUUCUGCUGUCAAGAGAUUGAAACAAUCACCUCUCUCAAUCGAUGAAUACUCCACCGCUGCUAGUCGACCACAAUAACAAAAAGUCAUGAUUUAUGAAAAAGGCAAUACUAGGUUUAGGAUUUGCUUUGUCACACUUACAGAAAUGUAUGUAUAUUAAAGAGGUAAUACACGGGUGUUAUUAUAUAUAAACAUAUUUUAAUCAUGGUAUUAAUUUCCAAAAAUACAACUAUAUCCGCCGCUCCGUUACAGCCAUUAGGGUCUAUUAAACAGGAGACGAGUUUUCGAAAGGUGGAGACGAAAUCCAGGCACCAUUCUGUUAAUUUAGAAAUCCAGCCACAUUUCUGAAAAUUAACUUAUUAAAACUUAGCCACACUCCUGAAAUUUUCUCAAGAAAGAGUAAAUUUCUUAAUAUUAAAGUUUAAGCUCAUAAAUUUCUUUCUCCCAAGCAAGCACGAGAAUUAGGAAGUCAUAUUUGUACAGGGCUUAUAUGGUUGGUAUGGUAGCAUAUAUAUUGUCUAGAUUUUCAGAAAAAUAUAUUUGCUUUUCUAGAUAUGUGGACUAUGAAUGGGGUAGAAAAUCUACAUGCCAUAAUUACCGUUGCUCAAUCAUUGAAAAAUUGAAAUCUAUUAUACGUAGUCUAUUGCAAGAAUCACUUUAUUAUUACAAUAACUUAAUCAACAUUGAAGUCUAUUGCCAAGGGUCACUUUAUCACAACAGAAUUCUUUCUCCUUGGCGGCUUUCAUAUCAUUAGGGUGUAAGUCAAAAUUUUUGUUACUGCUUGAGCCCGUUCACAAUACAUUGUCUCAGUCAUGAACAUUAAGACUGCGCUUGACAAUCUCUCUCUUUCGCUCUGAUAAAUUGCGACAAUAGUCAAUAUUGUCACUGUUAGGAUCAUGCCUGACAGUAUAUGUUUCUGUUACUAAUUUUGCUUUAUCUGAAAGUUGAUUGUUUUGGAUUAUAUUGAUGAUCUCCAAUCUUGCAACUACCCUGCAACAAGUAAUUAAUACAGAUAUGUUCUCUGAAUCUGUAAAAAUUACNNNNNNNNNNNNNNNNNNNNNNNNNNNNNNNNNNNNNNNNNNNNNNNNNNNNNNNNNNNNNNNNNNNNNNNNNNNNNNNNNNNNNNNNNNNNNNNNNNNNNNNNNNNNNNNNNNNNNNNNNNNNNNNNNNNNNNNNNNNNNNNNNNNNNNNNNNNNNNNNNNNNNNNNNNNNNNNNNNNNNNNNNNNNNNNNNNNNNNNNNNNNNNNNNNNNNNNNNNNNNNNNNNNNNNNNNNNNNNNNNNNNNNNNNNNNNNNNNNNNNNNNNNNNNNNNNNNNNNNNNNNNNNNNNNNNNNNNNNNNNNNNNNNNNNNNNNNNNNNNNNNNNNNNNNNNNNNNNNNNNNNNNNNNNNNNNNNNNNNNNNNNNNNNNNNNNNNNNNNNNNNNNNNNNNNNNNNNNNNNNNNNNNNNNNNNNNNNNNNNNNNNNNNNNNNNNNNNNNNNNNNNNNNNNNNNNNNNNUAUAUAUAUAUAUAUAUAUAUAUAUAUAUAUAUAUAUAUGAAAUUGUUCAAAUACAAAACACUAAAAUACAAAUCAAGAUAUACCACCCAUAAACGAAAUCACCUUCCUCUAUAUGUCAUCGCCCACUCCCUAUAUACACCUAUCUAAGGCCCACCUCGCCCUCUGAGGCGCACUAGAGCCUUGCCAAGACUCCAGACAAGUCUUGGAUAGGCUGCAAAAAGCUUUAAGAGCAAAACUUUUGUUUCACUAACCCCCAACCAGGACCCAUAUAUAUAGAGCAUCUCUAGAUGUAUCCCCGGUUCCAAAACUUGUCUCAUUCUACUUAAUUGUACUAUUAUUUUUAAUGAUUUGUAUUGGAGAAGGAUCAUGUACAUAUGUGUGUUUCGAAAACUAUAUUAUUAUUGUUCGAUUUUUAAACUUUAAAAUUCAAAUUUCUAACAAAUAUAUUACGGUUACUCUAUUAUAACGGCUCCAAUUGCUCUAUUUGAAUUUGUUGUAUCCUAUGUUGGAUUUUAGUCAUAUUUACACGUAUUUGGCUUUUCAUAUUAAAUAUCGUGUCAGUUUUUAGUUAGAGUUAUCAUGGUUGGAUGGUUGGAUUUUGCUGGAGUUGUCUCGACUUUAGCACUCUUAAUUAUUAUAAUCGAGGAGAUUAUUUAAUAUAUUGUCUUAUAAAUUUAUUUUUCAUUAAAUUGCUCUAACAACCAUGAUAACUAAUCACCUACUUUAUUAUUAUUUUCAAAUUUCAUAUCUCUAACAUUUAUUAACUAGAUAGUACAUUGUAGUAGUUUUAACUACUUUAUUAAAUUUUAACUAAAAUCUACGCUUAUUCAUAUAUUAGAAAAUUAUAAAUGUAUUAUAAUUUUAAAGUCAUACUAGCGGCUGCGGGUUCCUGCGUUAAAUUUUUUUUUUUUAAAAAAAAUUUACACGAACUUAAAUUAUACAAAAUUUCCGUGAAACCAAUCCAACAAAUAUUUAUCCAUUUUCAUUUCAAAUUUCAAAAUAAAUUAUAUAAAAAAUAUGCACAACAGCAUCGAAAUACAAUAUCUUAGUGAUUUAAUUUAACCAACCAAUUUUAGCAAACGGUUAGAAAGGAUCAAAUACAAUAUAAAAUUUAAUAUAUAGUUCCAAAUCUCAACUAACAACUUACUUCACCUAAAUUCUAAUGAAAUUUAAAAUAUUGAUGAUUACUCCUUGGAUUUUCUAAUCUAUAGAGACACAUCCAUACAAUAUAAUUAAAUGCAUGGAUUUUCUAAUCUAUAGAGACACAUCCAUACAAUAUAAUUAAAUGCCCCUGCCUAUAAAAUCUUGCAUAUAGCUUGGGCAAAACAUAACCACAAUACCAUUUCAAAGGUGACAGCAAUGGAGUGCUUACCAACUGAAAUCAACACCAAAAUUCUUAUAGGCUUGCCGGUCAAAACACUAGGGCAACUGAAAUGUGUAUCAAAAUCUUUCAACAUGCUUCUCAAAUCUCACCAUUUCAUUAAACGCCACAGCGAGCAAAUCUUGGAUCAGAAUAGUCUGAAAUUAGUACUUGUAGCUGCCAGUUCGAGUGUGCACACUCUGACCAUCACGGAUCAGAACCUUGUAUCUCGUCUGGCUCCUGUUCCAUUGCCCCCGAAUGAUGUCAACAAGUUCCUCCAUCCCACCAGUCUGGUUGGCACGUGCAUGGGGUUAGCAUGCCUCCGCUGCCCCCCAAACACAUACUCUCUUCUGAACCCGACUACUAAAGAGUGUCGGGUUUUGCCUAAUCCUGGUAGAUUCUGGACUACGAGCUGGCCUCCGAGUAAGGUGUCAGGGUUCGGUUACAUUCCAUCACUGGAUGAUUUCAGGGUGGUUUGUGUUGCCCUUUAUAAAGAUCGGCCUUAUGUACCAGUGAUCAAGGUUUUUUCUGGUAAGUCUGACUCAUGGAAGACGAAGCCGAUCACGGUUAGGGAACCUCUUUUUGGUUUUUUUUCUGAUUAUGCAGUUUAUUUCAAUGGUUCUGCUUACUGGCUAGGCUGGUCUGCAGACAAUAUUGAUGCAAAGUAUCAACGAGUUUGCCUUACAGCUUUUGAUUUUGUGAAAGAGGAAUUUAGUACAAUUUCCUUACAUGAUGAGAAUAUACAUGCGGACAAAAUUAAGGCUUUUGUGUUGUUGGAAGGGUGCCUUACUGUUGUGGUUGACGAAGAUGAUUUCUCUGUGGGAAUGUGGAUGAUGAAGGAGGUUGGUGUUCAAGAGUCUUGGACCAAGACUUUUUCUUUCAGAAGAUAUUUUCUUAAACCCUAUGCAUCGGUUUUCCCAAUUUGCCAGGCAGGAGAUGCCGUUUUGUUUAAUGUAAAUCUUGAGCUUCGAUGGUAUGAUCCGGUGAAGGAUAUAUCCUCCAAUAUUGGUGAUUUACGAAGGAUUAGGAGUAGGGAAGGUCGAAUCCACAUUGCAAAGUAUGAGGAGAGUCUGAUUUCGCCUCAUGACAUUCAGCAGGGCAGAAUUGCAAGCAUAAUAGCGGACGAGGUAAUUUACUCAUACAAUUACAUCGGUUAUUGGUGAUGUGAUGAGAAGUAUUUAAUAAGAAUAAUAAUGAUCUCUUCUGAUUAUUUGUGAUAAUAAAAGUUUGUAAUUAAAUCCUCUUUCUGUUUUUGCAGGAGAUUACUGGUCUGAAAAUAGAGCUUAAUAAGAUGAUCCUGAAGCUUCAGGAGGCUGAAGCUCGCGAGAAGGACCUUUUGGAGAAGCUUCGAAUUGCUGAGGAGGCUCAUGCUGAGGAGAAUAUAGUUAUGAAGAAGCGGAUAAAGGAGGUGGAGAAUGAGCUCAGUAGGCUGCGUCUUGGAAAAGAAGAGGCCAGGGGGUCUAGGGACAAAGACGCUGCUGCAAAGGAAGUUGCUGAAGCGAGGGAUGCCUCGCGGAUUAUGUAAUUGAAUAGUUUAGUCUUGCUAUUUCUGUGUCUUUGAACUUUGUUUGCCAUCUGGUUUGGCUAUCUAUUGUUUUGCUGGGAGACUUUUGGAUAUUGAUGGAGUUGCUUUGUUGAAUUUGGCUUGAUGACAUGGGAUCUCUGAUGAAUUGUUGUCACUCCUGUCAUACCUUUUGUAGAAAUGAUUGCAGGAAUCUGAAUUUGACAUGUUUGCAUAGACAUCUAAAAUUACAGGCUUUGAAUGUUUAGAUCUCAAGUGGUGGCCGGAAUUUUUUGCUUAUUAAUUAUGUUGUAACAAGCUCUCAAGACAUUGGCAUUGGACUUAAAGUUAAUUAUGUCAUGAAGACUGUAGGAGUGAGCCUCUGGUUUGAUUAAGAUCAGCAAGCAAUCACUAGAACAAGUGAUGAUUGCUGCAACCUUCAGGCAUGAAACGACUGGAACAGCUUUAUCAAAUUGUAUACAAUUUGUGUUGUAUCUUGUAUGGCUCAGUAGUAAGCAAUUACUAACUUCUAUCAGUCUCUCUAUUCAUGCAUUGCUUAUUUGCUUAAAAGAGUGCAACACUAAUAGUUAUGAAGUACAUUAUCCCGACUCUUUAUUUUGCUUCAAGUACCCGUGUCCGACACUCGACACUUGUAAAUGGGUAUGGAAAUUCCGACACUUAUUAUAGGCCAAAAAUAUGUAAAAUUUUCAAAAUAUUGCGAAAUCCGUCAGUCGGACACGUAGUCCACUUUGGACACUUUCAACCGAGUCCGGAUAACCUAGCUUAUAAACCUAAAUGUCCAUAGUCCAUGUAUAACAGGGUCGUAAGCUAUGAUAUUAAUUGCUUGCUUGGGGGAAAGUAAAUUAAGAGUUAAUUUCAGGGUGUGAUUAAGUUUUACUCUAAUUUUCAAAAAUGUGACUGGAUUUCUAAAUUAACAGAUUGGUGGCUGGAUUUCGUCUCCGCCUUUCAAAAAUUUGUUAAGGACGUUAUGUUUGCACCGUUAAUUUAAUUAGAAAACAUAAACUGAAAGCGUAUUUAGGUAAAAGAAGUUACUGUUUAAUGAAGAUAUAUGAAAAAGGCAUGGUAAAAUCAGCGAAAAAUAAGAAGAUUCUGGAGAUCCUGGCAUAAUCUCCGGCCCCUCCAAAUUUUCCUCCUAUGAAAGAAGUGAAAGAAGUGCAGCCAGCUGAAGUAAAUCAGACCGAUCUUUUUUUCUUCGUCGAAGAAAAAGAACACUCCACCGCUGAUUUGCAAGGCCAUGGGCUUUGUAGCAGCCUUUACAAGGUGAAGCUCAAUAACAACAAUACCGUUUCUGCUGUCAAGAGAUUGAAACAAUCACCUCUCUCAAUCGAUGAAUACUCCACCGCUGCUAGUCGACCACAAUAACAAAAAGUCAUGAUUUAUGAAAAAGGCAAUACUGGAUCAGAAUAGUCUGAAAUUAGUACUUGUAGCUGCCAGUUCGAGUGUGCACACUCUGACCAUCACGGAUCAGAACCUUGUAUCUCGUCUGGCUCCUGUUCCAUUGCCCCCGAAUGAUGUCAACAAGUUCCUCCAUCCCACCAGUCUGGUUGGCACGUGCAUGGGGUUAGCAUGCCUCCGCUGCCCCCCAAACACAUACUCUCUUCUGAACCCGACUACUAAAGAGUGUCGGGUUUUGCCUAAUCCUGGUAGAUUCUGGACUACGAGCUGGCCUCCGAGUAAGGUGUCAGGGUUCGGUUACAUUCCAUCACUGGAUGAUUUCAGGGUGGUUUGUGUUGCCCUUUAUAAAGAUCGGCCUUAUGUACCAGUGAUCAAGGUUUUUUCUGGUAAGUCUGACUCAUGGAAGACGAAGCCGAUCACGGUUAGGGAACCUCUUUUUGGUUUUUUUUCUGAUUAUGCAGUUUAUUUCAAUGGUUCUGCUUACUGGCUAGGCUGGUCUGCAGACAAUAUUGAUGCAAAGUAUCAACGAGUUUGCCUUACAGCUUUUGAUUUUGUGAAAGAGGAAUUUAGUACAAUUUCCUUACAUGAUGAGAAUAUACAUGCGGACAAAAUUAAGGCUUUUGUGUUGUUGGAAGGGUGCCUUACUGUUGUGGUUGACGAAGAUGAUUUCUCUGUGGGAAUGUGGAUGAUGAAGGAGGUUGGUGUUCAAGAGUCUUGGACCAAGACUUUUUCUUUCAGAAGAUAUUUUCUUAAACCCUAUGCAUCGGUUUUCCCAAUUUGCCAGGCAGGAGAUGCCGUUUUGUUUAAUGUAAAUCUUGAGCUUCGAUGGUAUGAUCCGGUGAAGGAUAUAUCCUCCAAUAUUGGUGAUUUACGAAGGAUUAGGAGUAGGGAAGGUCGAAUCCACAUUGCAAAGUAUGAGGAGAGUCUGAUUUCGCCUCAUGACAUUCAGCAGGGCAGAAUUGCAAGCAUAAUAGCGGACGAGGUAAUUUACUCAUACAAUUACAUCGGUUAUUGGUGAUGUGAUGAGAAGUAUUUAAUAAGAAUAAUAAUGAUCUCUUCUGAUUAUUUGUGAUAAUAAAAGUUUGUAAUUAAAUCCUCUUUCUGUUUUUGCAGGAGAUUACUGGUCUGAAAAUAGAGCUUAAUAAGAUGAUCCUGAAGCUUCAGGAGGCUGAAGCUCGCGAGAAGGACCUUUUGGAGAAGCUUCGAAUUGCUGAGGAGGCUCAUGCUGAGGAGAAUAUAGUUAUGAAGAAGCGGAUAAAGGAGGUGGAGAAUGAGCUCAGUAGGCUGCGUCUUGGAAAAGAAGAGGCCAGGGGGUCUAGGGACAAAGACGCUGCUGCAAAGGAAGUUGCUGAAGCGAGGGAUGCCUCGCGGAUUAUGUAAUUGAAUAGUUUAGUCUUGCUAUUUCUGUGUCUUUGAACUUUGUUUGCCAUCUGGUUUGGCUAUCUAUUGUUUUGCUGGGAGACUUUUGGAUAUUGAUGGAGUUGCUUUGUUGAAUUUGGCUUGAUGACAUGGGAUCUCUGAUGAAUUGUUGUCACUCCUGUCAUACCUUUUGUAGAAAUGAUUGCAGGAAUCUGAAUUUGACAUGUUUGCAUAGACAUCUAAAAUUACAGGCUUUGAAUGUUUAGAUCUCAAGUGGUGGCCGGAAUUUUUUGCUUAUUAAUUAUGUUGUAACAAGCUCUCAAGACAUUGGCAUUGGACUUAAAGUUAAUUAUGUCAUGAAGACUGUAGGAGUGAGCCUCUGGUUUGAUUAAGAUCAGCAAGCAAUCACUAGAACAAGUGAUGAUUGCUGCAACCUUCAGGCAUGAAACGACUGGAACAGCUUUAUCAAAUUGUAUACAAUUUGUGUUGUAUCUUGUAUGGCUCAGUAGUAAGCAAUUACUAACUUCUAUCAGUCUCUCUAUUCAUGCAUUGCUUAUUUGCUUAAAAGAGUGCAACACUAAUAGUUAUGAAGUACAUUAUCCCGACUCUUUAUUUUGCUUCAAGUACCCGUGUCCGACACUCGACACUUGUAAAUGGGUAUGGAAAUUCCGACACUUAUUAUAGGCCAAAAAUAUGUAAAAUUUUCAAAAUAUUGCGAAAUCCGUCAGUCGGACACGUAGUCCACUUUGGACACUUUCAACCGAGUCCGGAUAACCUAGCUUAUAAACCUAAAUGUCCAUAGUCCAUGUAUAACAGGGUCGUAAGCUAUGAUAUUAAUUGCUUGCUUGGGGGAAAGUAAAUUAAGAGUUAAUUUCAGGGUGUGAUUAAGUUUUACUCUAAUUUUCAAAAAUGUGACUGGAUUUCUAAAUUAACAGAUUGGUGGCUGGAUUUCGUCUCCGCCUUUCAAAAAUUUGUUAAGGACGUUAUGUUUGCACCGUUAAUUUAAUUAGAAAACAUAAACUGAAAGCGUAUUUAGGUAAAAGAAGUUACUGUUUAAUGAAGAUAUAUGAAAAAGGCAUGGUAAAAUCAGCGAAAAAUAAGAAGAUUCUGGAGAUCCUGGCAUAAUCUCCGGCCCCUCCAAAUUUUCCUCCUAUGAAAGAAGUGAAAGAAGUGCAGCCAGCUGAAGUAAAUCAGACCGAUCUUUUUUUCUUCGUCGAAGAAAAAGAACACUCCACCGCUGAUUUGCAAGGCCAUGGGCUUUGUAGCAGCCUUUACAAGGUGAAGCUCAAUAACAACAAUACCGUUUCUGCUGUCAAGAGAUUGAAACAAUCACCUCUCUCAAUCGAUGAAUACUCCACCGCUGCUAGUCGACCACAAUAACAAAAAGUCAUGAUUUAUGAAAAAGGCAAUACUAGGUUUAGGAUUUGCUUUGUCACACUUACAGAAAUGUAUGUAUAUUAAAGAGGUAAUACACGGGUGUUAUUAUAUAUAAACAUAUUUUAAUCAUGGUAUUAAUUUCCAAAAAUACAACUAUAUCCGCCGCUCCGUUACAGCCAUUAGGGUCUAUUAAACAGGAGACGAGUUUUCGAAAGGUGGAGACGAAAUCCAGGCACCAUUCUGUUAAUUUAGAAAUCCAGCCACAUUUCUGAAAAUUAACUUAUUAAAACUUAGCCACACUCCUGAAAUUUUCUCAAGAAAGAGUAAAUUUCUUAAUAUUAAAGUUUAAGCUCAUAAAUUUCUUUCUCCCAAGCAAGCACGAGAAUUAGGAAGUCAUAUUUGUACAGGGCUUAUAUGGUUGGUAUGGUAGCAUAUAUAUUGUCUAGAUUUUCAGAAAAAUAUAUUUGCUUUUCUAGAUAUGUGGACUAUGAAUGGGGUAGAAAAUCUACAUGCCAUAAUUACCGUUGCUCAAUCAUUGAAAAAUUGAAAUCUAUUAUACGUAGUCUAUUGCAAGAAUCACUUUAUUAUUACAAUAACUUAAUCAACAUUGAAGUCUAUUGCCAAGGGUCACUUUAUCACAACAGAAUUCUUUCUCCUUGGCGGCUUUCAUAUCAUUAGGGUGUAAGUCAAAAUUUUUGUUACUGCUUGAGCCCGUUCACAAUACAUUGUCUCAGUCAUGAACAUUAAGACUGCGCUUGACAAUCUCUCUCUUUCGCUCUGAUAAAUUGCGACAAUAGUCAAUAUUGUCACUGUUAGGAUCAUGCCUGACAGUAUAUGUUUCUGUUACUAAUUUUGCUUUAUCUGAAAGUUGAUUGUUUUGGAUUAUAUUGAUGAUCUCCAAUCUUGCAACUACCCUGCAACAAGUAAUUAAUACAGAUAUGUUCUCUGAAUCUGUAAAAAUUACAACAUACUACCAUUUGUGUCACAACUCACAAGGACCAAUUCAACCUGGAGCUUAGUUCUCUUGGAUUAAUAUGCCUAAACCUAGGUUUUAGUUAGUUUUAAUCUUGACAUUGCUUUUGGAUUUUUAGAACAACGUAUCCGUCUACUGCACUGCAUAUAUAAGCAGAUGGCCCUUCACAGGAUAUAUGCUACACGCCUAUAUGUCUAUUCUAUCCGCAUUUCUGGUCUAGAUAUUGACCUAGGGCAAGGUAUCCAGUUUGUCGACAGUCAUGCUAUGCUUUAAAAAUAUUCAAGUUAAUAGACCACUUCUUUGCUUGAACACAGAUAUCAGAUCCAUGAUCGGUGAGGGGCAGAACAUGUUGAAAUUGAACUACUAAAAAUGACAACUUCAUAUUAAACAAGAUGAAAAUGUAUGUACAAGAGCAAAUGCACUCCUAGGACUACAUGGUAUGUUUUUCUCAUAUAUUAAAAGAGAUGUGGUCCCGAAUAUGUAAAGGCUAUCCAACAAAAUGAUAGCGACUAACUAGUGCCCUCUGGAAACUAAACUCCUGGAUAAACUUUACUACUCCACUUAUUUGUGGCGUUCCGUAAAACACUUUCAACCAUCAACUGAUUUAUCCAUGCAGUAAUUAUUUCUAAGCCUACAAUACAAUAAUUUAUUUUAACAAAAGUUUAGAUUAAAUAAAUAAUCCCAACAAUCUCCCCCUCAAUCUAAACUUAGCUUCUAUAUCCAUCUGGAAAGUUCUUGAGUGUCCAUCUGACUUUCUUUAUUGGCCGCAUGGCCUUUUAAACUAAGCCCAUAUGGUAUUCUUUACAAAUCGAUCUGUAUGGCUAUUGAACUGAGCACGUAUGACUAUUAAACUUCUUUCUUUAUUGGCCUGCAUGGCCUUUUAAACUAGAGCUGUUCGCGAACAAGCUCGAGCUCGGCUCGAUAAAAGCUCGGUUCGGCUCGGUUCGUUAAUAACUCGAGCUCGAGCUAGAACACAUAAAGGUGUUCGUUAAGAAAACGAGCUCGAGCCGAGCUUUUAGUGUGUUCGGCUCGAGCUCGGCUUGAACUCGUUCGGCUCGAGCUCGGCUCGUUAAAGCUCGGAAAAAGCAAUAUUUUCAUGAUAAUUUCGUAAUAUAUAUAUGUUAUUGAAAGCCGAAUUGAACAUAUAAUAUAUCAAAUCGAUCAUGAGAAUAUUAACUAUAAUAUGGUACCAUCAAAACACACUAAAAAUUUUAUUUGGCUUGCUAUUUUAAGAGUAAAGUAGCGGUUUGGCCUUAUUUUUCUCUGGCUCCGCUCGGCUCGUAUUUGUUCGUGAACAAGCUCGUGUUCGGCUUGUUAGUUAACGAGCUCGAGCUCGAACACACUUUUUUGUUCGAUAAGAAAGCUCGGCUCGGCUCGGCUCGGCUCGAUAGGAAAAAAUUUAAAGCUCGGCUCGACUCGGUCAAAACUCGACUCGGCUCGGUUCGUGAACAGCCCUAUUUUAAACUGAGCCCGUAUGGCUCUUAAACUGAGCCCAUAUGGUAUUCUUCACAAGUCUGUAUGGCUAUUGAACUAGCACGUAUGACUAUUAAACAUCUCUGCCUGUUUGGCACUUCAACUUAACCCGUUUGGCUUUAAAAAAAAAUCUGUCCAUCUGUCACUCCUUGUUUGGUGAGACACUCACUGCGUCAUUCCAUCAACGAUUUAAACUCAUCUUCCAGCCUAUCCAUCAACGAGGCGGUGCAGGCCAAAUGGAAAGCACAACUGGAAUCACCACACGCCAAGAGAGGUCUCCAACGCCACCAUCAACUUCACAAGCGACAUCCAUCCGUACAGCGUCUAUACACAACAUCAGCAUCGAACUGGAGGAAUGACAGAGGAAUAAAAGUGGCCGUUGGCAUUAUUAACAAGCUGCUCAAACUCUCAUCAUCUGAGAAGCGAUCACUAAGGGUUACUUGAAACUCCAUAAGCCACUCCCCUUUCAUAAUCUUCGAGCACCGACAUACUAAAACAAAUGACUUCAGAAGGCUCCGGAGUUAUUUCAAAAUAUCUAAGCUUCCCUCGACUCACGUUUGAUAACCGGUAUAGUCCGUCAUGCUCUUCUACAUUUUCAGUGUCGCAGCCAUCUGAAACUGAAUAAAGCAGCACUGGUUAUCAUUCCCAUAGUGGUCAAAAGCGCCCAUCCCAUGAUCAUGCACAAACCAAUGCAGUAUCCCAUUGAAAUUGAUUGGGCCAAUGCCCCGCCUGAGCAACCGAAUCUGCCUAGGGAAAACUAGUACUAUGAGCUGUCCAGACACCAGUUUCCAAGCCAAACACCCAAAGAAUUCUGCCUUGUUAUGCCAAAAGGACCGGUAACUCUGAUAUCAUGUUAUUGUUAUUGAUUACUUUUUUAAUUUGUUAACUAACUACUCCCACCUUUACAUUAAAGACGGAUUUUAAGACUUAUAUAAAAUAUAAUUUAAUAAGUUAUUUUCUUUUUUUCUCUCAAUAAAAGUAUAAUAUUUAAAUUUUUAUAUCCGAAGUAUAAUAAAAAUUUAUUUUUUUAACUGAAUCUGCCUAGGGAAAACUAGUUUCCAAGGCAAACACCUCCAGAUCCAUGGAAAAGGACUCCACAUAUUGGUACUCAACAGGCACAGCCCAGCUGAAGCUCUCAUGACAACAUUAUUCUCAUUCACCCUACUAAACAAGUCCCUCUCCAAAAUACUUCCGCUGAAGAAUCAAAGAAUUCUGCCUUGUAACUCUGAUAUCAUGUUAUUGUUAUUGAUUACUUUUUUAAUUUGUUAACUAACUAUUCCCUCUUUUAUACGUCAGUACUCAGACUCAUAUAAUAAUAAAACUAACUAAUGAACAAGUAUUUUCUAUUCUCUCUUUUCUCUCUAUUCUUGAAAGUAGACGCCUCUAUAAUCUGAGGGGCUUCCAUCGGUUUUUACCGGUGGAAAGCCCCAAUCUUCUCUUUUUAGCAGUCUUUGUUCAUCUUUUGCUUUUGUUCAAUAAGUUCCCAAUUUAUUUGGGUUUUGUUUGGUCUCUCCUUGUGUGAGAGUUUGAUUUUGAUUUUCUUUACCGUUUGUCAUGUCCGGGAUUCUAGAUCUGCAGGAUUUUGAUGAUGUUGGUUUUCAUAGUGUUGAUUCGAUGAGGAAGGUUAUUAGGAGAUACAUCUAUGGUCGAUUGCUCAAAACAACAGUUGGAGGAUUACAAUAUGUAUAUAUCUCUUCAAAAAAUCGUUUGGUUGCCUAUCCGAAGGAUUCAACAACGAUAUUAUUACGCGUUUGUUCAAUUUCGAUAUGUAUGUAGAUGCCGUAUGGCUUUUUAUUAUUGAAUUGUUAUCCUUGUUCAAAAAAACAAAAAAAAACUAUUCCCUCUUUUACAUUAAAUACGGAUUUUAAGACUUAUAUAAAAUAUAAUUUAAUAAAUUAUUUUCUUUUUUUCACUCAAUAAAAGUAUAAUAUUUAAAUUUUUAUACAAAACAAUAAAAAUUCAAAAUAAAUAAGUUAUAAAACUGUAUUAUAUUCACUUUAAAAUAAAUUUUAUUUUUUUCAUUUAUAAGAAAAAAAUAUAAUUUACUUUGUACGAGUUACAUGAUAAACUCAUGUUUUUUUAGUAGACAUUAGUGUUAAUAAGAUUCACGCUUUUUUAUAUAAUUUUUUUAUUUAACUUCUGAUUUGUCAUUAUAAAUUAUACAUCUAUUAUAAUGCUCUUAAUUAUUAUAAUUGAGUUUAGUGUGGGGGUGUUUUGUUGUGGUUAUAAGUCCAGUUUAUGGAUUUAUACGUAAGAAGCAACUUAUUACAACUUAUUCGUAUUGUUUGUAUAACGAGCUCAAAAGUCAAUUUCCGAUUUAUAAGUCAAAAAAUGAGAAGUUGAAAUUCCUAUCUUUUUUUUUGUGACUUAUUUUUAUUUUUGAAACUUGAUUUUAAAAUAUGUAGAGGACCACCAAAAAUUUAUUAUUAUAUUCAUUGAUUUUUAUACCAAAUAAGUUGCAAACAUCAAAAUUUUUAUCCAAACACAUAAAAUAAAAGUUACUUCUCACUUAUAAGCAAUAAGCACUUUUAUAAGUUACACCAAACGAUCCCUAUAUCUUUAAAUAUAUAUAUAUAUAUAUAUAUAUAUAUAUAUAUAUAUAGGGGUACAUAAACCAAUUUUUAAAUGUAAGAACUAAGGUAAACAUGUUAUUUAACUAAUAUUUAUGUUUCCAGACCCUACCCAAACCCCAGAGGUAUAGUUUAAACAUCUUUUUAGAUAUAUUCAACACAAUGAUAAUUAGUGUUCAACACCCGAUGUUGAACCCCAGUUAUAAAUGUGUUGAAAACGCGAUUUAUUUAUGCGUUAUUUUUAAAAAUUGUGAUGUUUUUUGAAGAAUUUUCAACAUGUAUACUUUAUAUAACUAAGGAUUAACACGAUGGGAGAAUAAAAAAAAGUUUGUAAGUUUGUAACUUAAAAAAGUUUUUAUUUGAUCCUAUCCCUAUAUAUAUAUAUAUUAAAUUUUAUCUUUCAUUUGAUGGCUCUAAGCCUCUAAAAACCAAGAUAACUGUUUACAUACUAUAUUAUUAUUUCAAAUUUCAAAUUUCUAACCGUUAUAUUCCAAAUUUUAUAUUACAACAGUUUUAUUCAAAACAGCUCCAUUUUAUUGUAUUAUAUGCGGUUCAGAAUUAAUAACUAAUGAUACUUUUAGUUAUAUAUAUAUAAAAUAUCAUUUUCUAGUUUUUAAUAUUUAGAAUUUCUCAUGACUAUAUUCCGAUGACUUUAUUAUAACAACUAUGAUGGCUUUAUUUCAAUUUGAUGUAUACGUUGUUGGAUUUUAGUCAUAUUUACACUAUUGUGACUUUUCAUUGUGAUAAUAUUGUCAUGUUGGAAAUUAGUUUUUUUUUUUCUAGAUGAAAAUAUUAUAAAAAAAAGGAACAAAAAGACAAAGUCUAGGGGCAUCCCCCGCGAUGGACUAGAGAACAGACUCUCCUAGUCAAGCAAAUAAAGCAACAGACUAGCUGCUAGCCAGAGCAUUACAAACAAAUACAAUUAACUAACUAGUAUAGUAUAUGGCUCAGGGUGGGAUCAUUCUGUAGCCUUCUCUUAAAACUCGCACAAGUAUAUAACUUCUCACGAACCAUACGCUUGACAGAAGUUAACAAUUGAGAAGCUGGGAUGGCUUGGCCACCAUGAAUACGCGAAUUACGUUCCUUCCAAGUCAGGUAAAUUACCACAGAAGUGAAUAGAUAAGCAAUAUUCUGCUCAAAGCGAGGGAGGUUACCAGCAAAGAAAGAGCCCUGCAUCCAAUUCUGCCAAUUAAUGGUGAGAGGGUAAGGACAUGCUCGCAGCAUCAAGCUUGUAUAAGGGCAUUCAGAGAAUAAAUGUUGGACAGUUUCAUUGUAAUUUUGGCAUAAAAGGCAAGUAGGGUCCGGAACAGUCAUUUCGAAAUAUUCCAUACGAUCUUUAGUGAGCAAACGAUUCCGGCAAGCAAGCCAGGAGAUGAAAGAGCAUGAAGGUAUGUGAAAUCUGUGCCAUAGGAAUCUACACCACGGGACAGUUGGACUUACCUGUCGAAGGGCAUACAAGAUGGUAGUUCUGUUAACUAAUGUGUCCCCGUUCCAAAGGACAGCAUCAUUGGUACUAAUAGGACAAGACUGGAGCAUAUUGCGGAAGCUGAUAACAUGAGGGUCAUUUGUAGAGACAACAGACCACUGGUUAUGAAUAAUUAGGGAUCCGACUAAAGCAUCAGGAGUUGAGUCCAUCAUAGUAACAAAACCAGAACCAAAUUUUUCAAUCAGAGGGAGGUUCGUUAACCAUGGGUCAUGCCAUGCUUUAAAUUUAGAAUCCAUCUUCACUCUAUAAGAAAUGAACUGCAAGGCUAACGAGAGUUGAAGAUUUUACGAAGGCUCCAAGGGCAUUUGUAUGGCAGUUUAGCAGUCCAGAAUGCAUUGUGUUUCAAAAAGCACGAGUGUACCCAGACAAGCCAGAGGGAAGUGGGAUCAGGUUGGGAGAGUCUCCAAACUUGGUACAAAAUAGCAGCUGAAUUGCAAAGGAAGAGAUCUCUAAUGCCCAAGCCACCUUCAUCCUUCGUAUAACAGCAGUCAGACCAUGCAACUUUAUAUUGGCAUUUGGCAUCAAGAUUACCAGCCCAUAAAAAUUUGGCAAAGAUUGAUUGGAGACGCUUGAGCACACCCUUGGGGAGGAAUAGGUACAUACUCCAGUAUCCUUGAACACCUUGAAGUACAGUAUUAAGAAGCUGAAGACGACCACUAUAUCUUAGAAUUCUUGUAGUCCAGCAAUCAAUUUUUGUGCAGAUUUUUUGAAUCAACGGCGUGCAAAUUUGAUUGUUAAGACUUCUAGAAAUGAGGGGCAGUCCAAGAUAAGUGAUGGGUAAAGCACCACGACUGAAACCAUAUCGCUGAAGAGUAUCAUUAAUAAUUAAUGUUCUCAGGAACGUUACAGAAAAAUCCUCUGCAUUUACUUGGGCUAAGAUUCAGGCCAGACCAAGUGGAGAACUGCAUAACAGCGUCAAGCAGAAGGUUAAUAGAUUGACUUUCACCUUUGCAGAAAAGAAACAAAUCAUCAACGAAAAUAACGUGACUAAGCUUCAUCUGAUCAGUGCGCCAAUGAAAAGAGAAGUGCUCAGCAUUCUGGAUUUGAUACGCUAGAAGAGCAGUUAGAACUUCAAGGCUAAUUACAAACAAAUACGAAGAGAGUGGAUCUCCUUGACGGAGACCACUUUUGCAGGGGAAAUAGCCUUCAAGCACACCAUUAAUCUUGAUCGAGAUCAUACACUUAGUGAUGCAAGAUUUGAUCCAGAGUAUAAAUUGAGCAGGGAAGAGCAUACGUUCCAUAGCAGAAAAAAGGAAAUCCCAAUUUAGGCUAUCAAAAGCCUUGUGGAUAUCCAAUUUAAAGGCACACCUGGGGAUGCCAUCAUUGCGGUGGUAAUCUUUGCAAAGCGCUUGAACAAUCAUGAUAUUAUCACCAAUAACUCGCUUGGGAAUAAAAGCAGUUUGAUUGUGAAAGAUGAGUGAGGGAAUUACCAGUUUCAUACGUCCAGCUAGGAGCUUAGUGAUGCAUUUGUAGAGAGUGUUGCAGCAUGAAAUUGGAUGAUAAUGCUCCAUUCUAGAGGGAUUCUCGCAUUUAGGAACAAGGGUGAUGGCAACAGAAUUAAUGGCAUUAGGGAGGUGAAGAGAAUCAAAGAAGUACAAGAUUCCAUUAGUAACUUCAUCCCCAAUGAUGUGCCAAGCCGCCAAAUAAAAUUCAGGAGUAAGACCAUCCGGCCCAGGGCUCUUCUUCUUUGCCAUGCGUUUAGGAGCGUUGAAAAUGUCUUCUCUAUUGAAAGGAGUGCAUAGAUAUCUCUCUAGCAGUCAACGUUGACUGCUAGAGAGCUGAGGGAGUUCAACAUUUGAAUCCAUAUGAUUAACUUGCUGAGAGGUACAUUGGUUGGGUUUUAGUUGGAACUGUCUUAAUGGUAACACUCUAAAUUAUUAUAAUUGAGUUUAGUAUAUCUUUAAAUAUAUAUAAGCUUUAUAAAUUAAUCUUUUAUUUAACUGCUAUAAUAACCAUGAUAACUAUUCACCUAUUUUCAUAUAAAUUCACUGAUUGGUUAAUAGCGGUUGGUUAAACUCCUUAAAAGAAGAAAGCCAAAUAAUAAAUAAGAUUGAUCUAAAAUUUGGGUGUGAUAUCUGAUUGGUUAAACUACUUAAAACUCAUUGAUCGGUUACUUGAUGGAGGAUUGUGUCCAAUUUUCAACAUUAAAAAUUCAAAUUUCUAACGAUUAUAUUUCAAUGACAACACUCUGCUUGUGGUGAUCUUAAAAUCUAUUCUUUCUUAAAAUAUGUCUCUGGCUCUCGUUUGGUGAUCUUAAAAUCUAUUCUUUCUUUUUUUUUAUGGUGGCCUUUGCUCUUGUUUGUGGUGUUCAUUUCAGAGCGUUUAUGGAGCAAUCCAGAGUCCAC